CACUGUGUUGAUUAUAGUGAUUGAGAGAGUACUCGCCUCCCUCUCGGGGAAAGGUUCGCUGAUUCCCACCCGGAUUGUAAGUGUUCUGUGUGUUGUUUGGACUCUAGUGAGACGGCUGGAGAAGGACGACAACGACAAGGUAGAUAAAGCUGAACUUGUCCUACAGUUUGCUGGACGACAUCCGUUUACUGUGGCAUUGCGACCUGUGGUGGAGAGAAUCUGAGGGUGAGCCACCUAGCGCCAUCACCGAGAAAGCUUUGUAAGCUACACACCUACCUGGCUUACAGGUAGCGACACACAGAACACGCUGUUUUAAACGUCACCUGGAAUGAUGACUUUCAGGAACUGGCAGUUCGUGGUGGCCAGCGCCUUACUUUUGGGGUCGGUGGCCGCCAUCUUUCUCGUCUUCAAAGACUCCAUCACCGGCGCGACCAACGCGAUCGUGACGUCAGUGUCCCAGAGGGAGAGCAGCAACAGUCAUCCACUGAUAAAUAUGGACAAAACAACCCUGGACGCCAUACAGCGGAGGAUAAACGAGAGAAACCAUGCGUCCAGAAUGCUUAACGACAUGAAGAAAGAAAUGGGACAGCUCGAGUGCAAUAUGGCUAAACUGAAGAAAGAGCGCGUGGUGUCGAGCAGUGGCGGCUAUUGCGAGGAGGACAGUGACCCCAAGGUGACGCACGAGCACAGGUUCGACGUGAAAAUGGGAACGUUGUUGGUGAGUUCUUCACAGGACAGACGGUGGGAGGAUUCGGGGACGGCCCCGGCAGUACAGAGAUCACCUGCUGAAGCAAGGUCGCGGUGAUCUCUUACGAGGCCUACGACGGUGCGCCCUUCGUGGAAAGGUCCACCGGGAGCAGUGAAGUUCAUGGACCUGACCUUGCCUCAGUACGGACUUCCAGCCUACGACUGGGUGAUGUGUCUGGAGGUAGCGGAGCACAUCCCUGCCCGCUACGAGCGCAUCUGGUGGACAACAUGGCACGCCAUGCCGUAAAGGGGUGGUGUUGAGCUGGGGGAAGAUCGGGCAGGGAGGAUUCCAUCAUGUCAACAAGAGUCCGAGGACGUGAAGAGCUUUCUGGAUGAGGCUGGCUUCUACCCUGCAACAACGCCACGCAGCACAUGAGGAACACUCGGGUUCGAGUGCUUUAAGGUGAACACCAUCGUCUUCAGAAGAAAGCCCGAGGCAUAUUUCACGAAGAAGAUGCGUAAACUAAAACGUGUCUAGUGUCCUUCCUGUCUCGUGUCUGUCAUGAGUGAAGUCAGUGGAUUUUUUUGUCUGGUAUGACGAUGCUCUCAACUGCAUGAAUUGCAGAUGACUGGAUCUCAAUUUUUAGGCAAAGAUCAGCUGUCACAUUACAAGAAAAUAUUCCUCACUGUUUCAAACGUUCACCCAUGUCGAUGGUAUUUGAACGGUAAUGAUGAAAUGCUCCUACGAGUGAUGUUUGUUUUUCACUGUAAAAAGCAGUCUGGGGCAUAAGUAACCUGCAAAGUAAAACUUUUGUCUUAACUCAUACAAUACAUCUGUUUUUUUUUUCUCCCACCUUACAAGCAAAUUUUAAAAUACAGCUGACAAACCAUCUCUGUACGAAAUAUUUUUCAUAAUCUUGUGUACCCACUACUUAAUUCUUCACCCAUGCUAUUGUUUUCGUCCUGUUGACUGUUUGUUGACGCCUGUGUUGACUGUAGUGUUGAAUGUCGGCUUGUUUGUUGUUAUUCAUGUGCAGCGCAUUGAGCUCUCUUCCACACAGGAAAAUGUGCUUUUCAAAUCUUAUUAUUGUCAUCUUUAUAAUUAUUAUUUUUUUAAAGUAGAAGUGUGUACAUAUCACUUCACCCGUGGGUUUUCUUUUUCAUUAUUAAGUGGGUUUUUUUUUCAGCACCGUGAUUUAUUUAUUCUUGGCCGUCAGUCUGACGCCUUUGCUUCUAUCAUUUUGAAACAUUCUCCAAUGUUAUACUCAAAUGUAAUGUUUUAGUUUUGUUUUCUCUACAUUGAGAGUUUGCUUUCUCUUAAUCUUUAUCGUUAGAUAAACCAAUCGGUGGAUUCUCGAUACUCAUUCCAAACUUUAGUUUGACCGUUUGGUUCAUGACAUGGAGGUCAGCAGUGAAAGCGCCUUUCUAGAAGUUAGAUUUGUUUAUUCUACUCAGUCUGUCGGCCCAUCACACGUGGUGUGGAGGUAGUAGAGGUGAUGCAAUAUUAUUUACAUUUUUUAAAUAGAAAAAUAGCUUUGUUCAAUAAACAUGUUUAAUAUUGAGGUUUUAUAAACGUGUCUUUAAGAGAUAUUAAAAAUUUGCAAAUAUUGAA